GUUUUAUUUUGGUUUAUUUGGUGCCUCCAAUGAAAGUACCAAAAUUAAACACACGAAAAAAAGUCAAGGACUAAAAAUUGAAACGCCAAAUUCGGGUGCCAGUAUAAUAAUAUCGUUAUGUAACACUGUUACAUUUUAAGGAAAACAUGUUAUGUUAUUACAUGUACAUCUUCCGUAUAUUUACUACAAUUAAAUACAGAGC
rnacentral:lncRNA from 1 species